GGGGACAGGGAGCGGAGACACGGAAAAGUGCUGGAGUGGGGUUCUGUGCUUUACGUGCCCCAGGGCAUGGCUCAAUCUAGCAAACCCUGGAGUGAAGCUGCUAUCAGCGUGUGGAGACUGAGUGCCACCGACAGCCUGUUGUCUGUUCGUGCUCAGAGAGUUAUGUGGAAGGACAGGAGUGACUCAGUAAUAGGAAGUAUUAGUUGCACUGAGGCAAAACCAGGUGAAGUUAUUACUUGGUUACUCUGUUACCUUGGGUCAUUGUUUUGCAUCAGUCCACUGUUUGCUUAUGAAUCAGAAAUAGUAGUGCUUUCCAAAAACAUACUGUGAAUAAACACUAAUGAGCUCAAAAUGCUUAUCAGCUGUAGUAAUAACAGGUAGAUGUGUUGUUUCUCUAUAGUGGCAUAGACAGUGCAGCCAGGAUUGUUUUGCUUGCAAGCUCUUCCUGUGGCAGUAACUUUGCACAGAAGUAGACUUUUGCUUCAAAAGACAUUUUAUAACUCAUGAUACUGUGUGAUAUGCAAUGUUAGAAACAUAGAAUCAUGGAAUGACUUAGGUUGGAAGGGACUUUAAGGGUUAUUGAAUUCCAACCCCCUCCUGCGGGCUGUGUUAAGUCAUAUUUCGUAUUUUUAUGCAGAAAGUUCUCUAAUACGCUUUUAAAUAACCGCCAUUCCACAGUGCAAAUAGUUUGGGGUUUUUUCUCCUGUGUUCUUAAAACAGCACCAGUACUGCUAAGGAAGCAGUGUCUGGUUGUCUCUGGGUGAGGUGAUAGACUGAGGCUUUUGAUAUGGAGUUGGAAGAGAGAAGUUCCAGUAUAUCUGCUCACAUCUUGGCGUGAUCAAGAAAUUACUUGGAACUGGUUUGUAACUCACUGUGCCACCACACAGCUAUACUUGCCAGGGUUGAGUAGUAUUGUUUACGAGGUGCUGUCUGGAGAUGCCUCUGUAUUUGCAAGAAAAUACUGAAGCAGGUGACAGUAAGUUCAUUACAACGAGCUGAGCAGUUUAGGAAACAGCAUUUUUAUUCUCACAUUAUAAGGUGAUCUACAUAGAAAAUCAAAUGCCUUAAGUAUGCCACUGGCAAGCACUUCAAUAGAGGAAUCUGAAAACUCCAUAGGAGUUGCCCGGAGUGGUUUGUGCCGCUCUCAAGAGCAGUGCUGCCACCACCAUAGCAGGUGAGCUGGAGCUGCUGCUCUCAGGAGUACUGAGCAGAGUUGGCUGAGUUUUCCUCUGCACUUUUGCUUUAUGCAAAUCAGAGCAGGUAGCUCGCUUGUCUGGUGUUCUUUGAGUUUGUUUUUGUUUAUUUUUUUGUUUUUCUGAUCUAUUCUAGAAAGAUACACCACAAAGAAGCACCAACUGCCUGGUAUCUUUAAGCUUUGCUUCUGAGAGUAUUUUGUUCUGUAGUUUAUCACUUGCCUGCUCAAGUUUGUUUGGAACUUCCAUACUGCUAAAUAGGACAACUGUUCUGUGUGAGGAGGAGGAGUUAGGUGGCAAAACUUGCUCUCCUUUGGAGUCCAUUUGAAAUAUAGUGACUGAUGAAGGCCAAGGAGCAAUUCUGCAAUUGUUUAUUCACUGUAUGUGUCCAUGACCUGGAAGAAGCGUGCAGGAAUGGGCUAAAGCAGAGAUGCUUCUGAGAUGGCACAAAGUGUGUGUUGGAGGCAGACAGGAGGAGUGGGCAGAUGGCAGUCAGAACAAAACAGGGAGUUCAAUAACUUGGGACAGCACUGAGCUGCUCUAUCUGGAGAACACCCUUCUAACCAUAAAGGGGAGCUGCUCUGUCUAAGAUUGAGUGUAAGACAUAAAUGAUCCUCCAAAGAAGCUUUUCUCAAAAAAAAAAAGAGCUUAUUUUCUGAAGACAACUUUGUCACUUGAACUAGAGAUGCUUCUUACCUUGACUGAAAAGGCAGACUAUGGGCACAAACUGGAAGACUCCUCAAGGUGACCGACUACUUUGUACUGCUGGACACCUGCAGUGAUGUAUAGUAGUCUGUUGCUGUAAACAUCCCCGACUGGAAGCUGUAGCAGCUCGAGCUUUCAGUCAGAUGUUUGCUGCACCUGGCUAUACCUGGACAGCAUCAGGAGGAAAAGAUGUCAUAAACCUGUAUGCAUAGAUACAUAUCUAGUAGUUUCUGUAGACACGCUGAACUGCCUCCAAGUGAGUUAACUUGAUUUUUAUUAAUAUUGCUGGUAUGAUUGAUUACAAGCUAAUCUGUAACAGGCAGGAAAUACAGAGGUAUUGCAUAUAUGUCACUCAGAACUGAAUUCUCUGCUGCUCCAUGGUAUGAGCAACAGAACUAUGCCUCUCUGGAAUUUAACAGCAAGAGGUGUUUAAUUUCUUGUACAAAUAUACAUAAACAAAACUCACCUUAUGAACUACCUUUUUUAAUGGCAUCUGCUACUUACUGAUCUGUAGAAAAAUGAUUAAUAUUGUUGAAUACUUAGCAAAUAUUUUAUUUGCUGUGCCUUGUUUUUGCUUUCUGAAAUUCCAUGUUCUGCCUCUCCUAUGAGUGGGUGGUGCUCUUAUUGUUUGUAAGCUGGAUGUAACCCAAGGCCACAAUAAAGGUUAAAAAAAAAUUGCACAGGAUGUAUGUUUGUAGUAAAACAAUGCCAAAUGUAUACAGUUGUUUGUGGUACAGUCAUCUUGUUUUGUACUACCAUUAACAAAGAUUAUUUUUCACAUAAAGAACAGUUUUUGAAAGUCCUUCUUCAGAGUUCUCUUCACUAAUUCUUGACUUAAAGUAAUCGGUUCAUUGAGAACAGCACUCAGCAACACAACUUCAGUACUUUCCACUUUUCUCAGUGAGGGAUCUAGGAAGUGUGUUCUGCUGAUGUAAUUUCCUGGACCUUGUCUGGGACUUUUCUUCUCUUUCUCUAUAGUUCUUUAUUUGUAAAGGAUGGGAGCAGAAUAGCCUAAAUGAGUGCUUACUACUCCAACAACAGCAGAAUUCAUUCCUGCACUACCUUAGCUUUCCAGUCUUCCACCUCUGAAAAUGUUAGUUUCAUAUUCUUUGACAUUCAGCAGGCAAAUUUUAUGUUCAGUUUAUUUGAGAGUAUGUUAAUAUAGAUUAAAAGGGUUAACAAGAUCUAACUUUGCUAUAGGAAUUCUGUAGACUGUAUGCAAAGAUACAAAUACUUUAAAAAAAUAAAAUUUCUGGUUUCUUAAAACUAUGAGGAUUCCUUGGGCCUGGAAAGGAUAGACUACAAGUAGUGCAGAGGCAGUGAUUCUCAAGCAUGUCAUGAACGGCCACCUGUGAACUGAGGGGAACCAUUCUUCUGGGGCAGUCGUGUGACUUUAAAUACAGAGCUGCUGUGAUGUGGUUCACCUGUCUGCUGGCACAGCAGUGCGUGGUGAUCGAAGGUUCUGAACUUACUGAUAGCACUACUGCAAUUAUCUAUUUUUGGAGUAGUUCAUACACAAUACAGUUUCUAUUAAAGAACAUGUCUUAAAUAUGAUGUUUGGCUUGGGUACAUUGUCAAAUUAGAAAGAGAAAUAUAAGCAGCAUUUACAAAUCCUUUUUUUUUUUUUAAAGGAGAACACAAGUGCUAGUCAUUUUUCCAGAUGUUCUUUGCUGGAAAUGCUUGGCAUUCCCUAGUUUUACGUACUACUUGGACUUAGAAGGAAUUAAGUGUUGUCUGUUAACAUUCUUCACUGAAUGAUCAAAGUAAAUGUUAUCUCAUAGUUAAUCUUGUAGUCAUUUUUGUUAGUGCUGUCUUGGCCUUUUCACAAGCUAGAUAAGAGUAGUCAUGUGCAGUUCAUCAGUGCAGUCUUGUGGAAUUUUAUUUAUGUGCUAGUAUCUAAUACAAUCUCAAACACACUAAUACAGUCUCAAACACAGCCAUCAUGCUUCUUUACAUGAAAGCCAACUGCAGUGGUGUGUAACUAUGGGAAAUAAAUAAACCCACGCUGCAUUUUUACAUUGCGUUUUUGUUUGGGAUUUUCUUGUGAAGAGCUUGAAAAGCCAGGAUCUCUGAACGUAUCUCAAACAUUUCUGCGUGCAGAUGAAGUGCAGUCUUUCCAGAUAUUGUGUGUUUACACAAUGAUUUAAGUUGAAUCAUUGAAUUUUAGGAAUGGAAGAGGCAAAUUUGACAUGCCAGCCUAAUCAUCAGCAAAGCUAAUUACGUCAUCUUGUUAACGUGAUGACUGCAACUAUUGCUUAUGAUAGAAGGAGACAUAAAUAAAUUUCUCAUGUUUUAUGGUGCACUCACAUCAUAGUGGAGGCAGAUAGCUAAUGGACGAAGUUGCUAGUCCAGAGGCUGGCAGCAAAGUUGUGAAUGUGCUGCUAAUUCUGGAUAACUGUCAUGCCUAGCACAAGUAGGAAUGGACAUGCAGACGUUUGGAAGUGGAAGCUAGGUGGAAUACCAUGAUCCCUGCUUGCUGAGCAAGUGGAGUGCUUAUGAAGAUGCAUGUUUAGAGUCUGAAUUAGUUGCCUGUGGUUUUUAUGACCACUUAACAGCAACAUGUCAAACUCUUUGGUAACUUCAGGCUGGUUUUCAUGAAGGUCUCCCCUUGCUGUGAACUUGCAGCUGUGUUCUGUAGAAAUGCUUGAGCUCAUGUUUUUUUCUUCAUACAAAGAACCAGCUGUGAAGUGUUCAGAAGGCUUCCACCAGCCUCUGCAUAUGAAGAGAAAUCUGCAUCUGUGGUUCCUUCUCCCCAGUAAAUCUACAAAACACCUGCUCAGACAAGAGCUUUGAGAAGGCUGACAGAGUUUAUAAAGCAUUUUUUCCCGGUUUGCUAAUGUUCUGGUUAUUCAAGGCUUUAGAUGCUAAGUAAGCUGCACAUUUGAAAUCUAAAAUAAGUUUUGAAGCUUAACUGAUAGUGUUCUGUUCUCUCACUAUUAAAAUGACUCAUCAUUCUGAGUAACAAUGUGUGUGGAGAAAACUAAGAAGAUUGAAACAGCAGGGAAAGAACCUUGGAAGCAGUUUUAGAAUGGGAGUUAGUUUAGGAAAACCUAGUAGUGCAGCUAGGAAGACAAGCAAAUGUAACAAUAGAAGCUGUAAAAUUUAGCAUAUAAAGGAAACUGCUGAAAUUUUUGGUACCACAGGAGUUGAAUUUUUGCACAAACCAUUUGAGAAGGACAUCCUUGAGGACUGUUUUCUGGCUUGUACUACCCUAUUGAUGUCCCAUAUAUAUUUUGGUGUUGAGCAUCAAUUCUGAUAAUGAUUUACAUUUGAGGUUUCUAGAAGUGCCUACUCCAAGCAUCAAGAGUCUUGGCAGGUAAGUGCAACAGAGAUAGUGAAUUCCAGCAGCUGUGAGAAUAGUUUUAUUCUGUUUUUCCCUGUUAUCUCUGUAGUAUUAGAAACUGUACAAAUACAUUACCGUGUUCUGAUAUUUAUAAGGUUAAUUGUUAAAAAACAGUGCUCCAACUUUACGUCAGUAAGCUUUAAUAACUGUUGCAAAUGCCUUCUGAGUAGCAUAAGCUGUAGCGCACACAGCGUAUUGAAAUAUGCCUGUGCCGAUUCAUUUUUGGAUAUCUUGAAAGCCAAUGCUGUAUUUAUAUUGUUAAGCUAACUUUUAGUUCCUGUAAACAUCCUACACUCAGCUAUAACAAGUGGUAGGGCUGGGGGGUGGAUGUUUACUUCAACUGACUUGGAAAGGCAGCUUUCCUGAAUGAUCAAGUGACAUUUUGGCAAGAACGGAAUGCUAUAUUUCAGUGGUAUUCAGAUAAGCUUAUUGUAUUGUAAAUACUCUUCUUUCUGUGGAAGUACUGUAUUUCUAUAAAUGUCUUAAUGCAUGAUUAUUGUAAAGCAGUCUUUAACUGCUAAAUUGUGUAUCAUUUUGAUUGCAAAUAAACUGUGAUCCUGUAUCUUUGUCUUGAAAAGUACAUUCUGGUGUCCUCAGCUCACCUAGGAUACACUCUUGAUAAGAAUAUACCCAGAAUCUGUUACUGAGCAUAAAUUGAACAAUUUGCAGCAGCCAUUUCUUAUUUAUGACCAACUUCUUCAGUGUCAGAGGAAGAGUGGAUAUGUUGGACAAUGAUAAGUAAAGACAACAGUAUAAAAUAUUUAAGUGGUAGAACUAUUUAGAUGUAACAAUUCUGUUGGUUUUGGUAUCUAACAAAAUGAGGAAUGUCUUGCUUUGAUUUGGAAAACUUGGAUAGAAGAACAUGGAAGGAGAUGAUCGUUAGCUUUCCAUUUAACUCAUUUUACGUUAUAUCUUACGUGAUAGGAUCCCAUAAGUGGAUGUAUUGUUAAAUGAAAUAGAGCUCCAGCAUUUUGAGAAUAGGAAAUACUAGAUUUAAGUGUUCAAAAAAGAGCUCAGGAGUGGUUUUGUUUAGGCAGAAGAAUGAAGGACAUGGGAUGCAUUGUUGUGAUGUGUAACCUGCUUUUUUGAGGAUCACUUCGAAAAUGCAUUCCUUUAAUAUUAGGCUCCUGAUGCGCGAUGUAUUUCCUACUUAAGGCAAACAGGUGAAAAUUACCAAGAGGAUUUUUAUCUUUUAAGAUGCAGAAGCAUAUUUUUGUUAUAUUAUUUCUUGUGUUUAUUAUGUCUUGCCGUGCUGCUUACUUUUGUUUCCAUGCUGAAGAAGUCUUUUAAUCAGAAGUCCUGGGGAGGUCUAAAAAAAUAAAUGGCACUGCAAUCAAUUGCAUGCAAAAGAAUGCAUCAGAAGUUCUGUAUUUACACAGAACUUCAUAGUGUGAACAGUGCAGUACCAUCACAUAUUACUGUGUAUGUGCAUGCAUGGUUUAAAAACUUUGCUUUUUUGAACUAAUGUCACCUGUUCAGUUGGUGCAGACCUCUGAGUUUUUCAGUUGAAGUGAGCCAGGGAAGCCUUGGGGAAGUGAGUUGUCCUCUUCAGAAGAGAUCCUGUGUUGAAGGGGAAGCUUACCUGCAGAACAGUCUGCAUUUCUUUCUACUUUAUUCUCCAGUUAAGUGCCCCACGGCAUCACUAACUUCACUCCGUUGCUACUGGAGAUGCUUUUUCCACCUGCUCUGGCUGGCAUGACAUGCAGCCAUGCUGAUGUAGCCAUGGCAUCGUGCAGUGGGGUUCGACAGCAAGAAGGAAUCCUCAAAUCAACAUUACCACCAGUCAAAAGGUGCAAAGACUCCUCUCAGCAAGCACCAUUUGUCUGGAAAUAAGAGCUACUGUGGGGGUAGCGAGUAAGCAGUGUGAGCAGACUGGGUGUGGGUGUGUAUGUGGGGUUUCAGUGGGUUUAAAUGCACUUGAGAUGUAAAAUUCAUGUUACAAAUAGGUACAAAACAGUAGUCUGAGUGGUUUUAUCAAAGGAAAAUCUUGACUUUUUGACGUGACUAUUAAAAGAUAGGAGAAAAACGUUAAACGGUGACAUUGGUGAAUGACCUGUUGAAAGUUUAAGAUUUAAGAUACGCUUUUUCAGAGUAUUUUGGAUUUGCAGCACUGUGAAUUCUGUAGUGGUCUGGGAAACAGCUGAAGUGUAGCCGUUCCUUGGAUAAAUGCAUGUUAGACAACAGCAAUACUCUUGCUGAAGGAUUCCAAGCAGGUUGGCUGCCCGUAGGGGAGACAGCCCGCUCUGAAAGAGUGACAGCACCAAUAGUAUGGAAAGAGAGCUCUGAAGGUAAGCCAAACUCACGUGCGUUUGUUCCCUUUUGCUUUGGCUUCAGGAGAGGAUUCAGUAACUGACUGGACGUGUGUGUGCAUCCUUACUUGUACAGCUUUGCUGCAGGUGCUGAUGUGAAAAGUAGCUGUUGGUUAAUGCUCACCAUUCCGGGUUGUGCUAAAGGAAAACAAAAAGUCAGACUUCUAACCUAGAAUAGUUCUAAAGACUCUAAGCAUAGCACCACCAAACUUAAAACUUCUGAAGCACGCUCGUUUUUCAUCCACUGUGUCGGUGAUUUUUGGACAGAUAAGUCACAGUCCCAUGGCCCCCAUGACGGCAUAAAGCAAGGGUGGGUAAACAGCUGGAAAAGGCCACCAUGUGUGUGAUUGAUACGAUGGUCCAGAAGCUCUACUGAGAUAUGGUGGCAAAGGUAAGUCAUGUAGUGUCAGUCAUCAAAUUUGUCUCGAACACAGGCACAGUUGAUGUAUUUUUUUGUUACUUUUGAAAGCAUGCAUUUACUCUUCUGUUUGAUUCUACCUGUUUUCGUUUUCCUGAUGGUAAAAAUCCAAACUUAUAUCAAUAAAAGUAUGUUGAUAUCGA